AGGAUGGUCUGCGCUAUCAGUAGUAGUGGGUGUAAUGUACUACUAGCCUACAACGGGUACGGGUUGUGAGAGCAAGAGCCGGAGAUGGAUUCUGAGACAUGAAUCAGGCCCUACGGGGCGCAGCAGGCGCGAAAACUUUACAAUGCAGGAAACUGUGAUAAGGAGACACCGAGUGCUCGCAUCAAAUGCGGGCUGUCCGCUUACUUAAAUCGUAAGCGUUAGCAAGGGCCGGGCAAGACCGGUGCCAGCCGCCGCGGUAAUACCGGUGGCCCGAGUGGUAGCCGCUUUUAUUGGGUCUAAAGGGUCCGUAGCCGGUUCGGUCAGUCCAUUGGGAAAUCCGGAUGCUCAACAUCCGGGCUUCCAGUGGAUACUGCCGAACUUGGGAUCGGGGGAGGUAAGAGGUACUAUAGGGGUAGGAGUGAAAUCUUGUAAUCCCUGUGGGACCACCUGUGGCGAAGGCGUCUUACCAAAACGAGUCCGACGGUGAGGGACGAAAGCUGGGGGCACGAACCGGAUUAGAUACCCGGGUAGUCCCAGCCGUAAACGAUGCUCGCUAGGUGUCAGGCAUGGCGUGACUGUGUUUGGUGCCGAAGGGAAGCCGUGAAGCGAGCCACCUGGGAAGUACGGCCGCAAGGCUGAAACUUAAAGGAAUUGGCGGGGGAG
rnacentral:rRNA from 1 species